rnacentral:rRNA from 1 species
ACGGCGAGUGAAGCGGGAAGAGCUCAAAUUUGAAAUCUGGUGGCCUCAGGUCAUCCGAGUUGUAAUCUAUAGAAGUGUUUUCCGUGCUGGCUCAUGUACAAGUCCCUUGGAACAGGGCGUCAUAGAGGGUGAGAAUCCCGUCCUUGACAUGAACUACCAGUGCUCUGUGAUACAUUUUCAACGAGUCGAGUUGUUUGGGAAUGCAGCUCAAAAUGGGUGGUAAAUUCCAUCUAAAGCUAAAUAUUGGCGAGAGACCGAUAGCGAACAAGUACCGUGAGGGAAAGAUGAAAAGCACUUUGGAAAGAGAGUUAAACAGUAUGUGAAAUUGUUAAAAGGGAAACGAUUGAAGUCAGUCGUGCUCUUUGGAUUCAGCCGGUUCUGCCGGUGUACUUCCUUUGAGUGGGGUCAACAUCAGUUUUGAUCGCUGGAUAAAGGCUGGAGGAACGUAGCACCCCCGGGUGAACUUAUAGCCUCCUGUCACAUACAGUGGUUGGGACUGAGGAACGCAGCACGCCUUUAUGGCCAGGAUCCGUCCAUGUACGUGCUUAGGAUGUUGACAUAAUGGCUUUAAACGACCCGUCUUGAAMNNCG